rnacentral:rRNA from 3 species
UGCAGAAUCCCGUGAACCAUCGAGUCUUUGAACGCAAGUUGCGCCCGAAGCCGUCAGGCCGAGGGCACGCCUGCCUGGGCGUCACAC